rnacentral:rRNA from 1 species
UACGUAGGGACCGAGCGUUGUCCGGAUUCAUUGGGCGUAAAGAGCUCGUAGGCGGCCACUCAAGUCGAAUGUGAAACCUCGAGGCUUAACCUCGAGCCUGCAUUCGAUACUGGGCGGCUAGAGUCUGGUAGGGGGAUCUGGAAUUCCUGGUGUAGCGGUGGAAUGCGCAGAUAUCAGGAGGAACACCAAUGGCGAAGGCAGCUCGCUGGGACGGUACUGACGCUGAGACGCGAAAGCGUGGGGAGCGAACAGG